CGGGGCGUAGCGCAGCUUGGUAGCGCACUUGUCUGGGGGACAAGGGGUCGUGGGUUCGAAUCCCGCCGUCCCGACCA
rnacentral:tRNA from 2 species